CAUGCUGAAAGCACAGGUUCUCCUCUGUUCACCACAGUUAAACAUCAUCGGGCGUGGUCAGUGCUUGGGAGAAUGACCACCUGGGAACACCGUGUGCUGUUG